AAACAACUCGUCGACAUAUUUACGAAGCCCUUGUCUACUUCUCAAUUACCAUUCUGCGUACCAAUCUUCAAAACCAUCAAAAGGAUGCUCAGAGUGUAGGAGGAUGUUAGCGUGUUAUAUGUAUUACGUAUUUUUAGGCUUUGGUUGGUUCGAGAACUAAAUUCUAGAUGAUGCUUUUUAUUGUUUCUGAGAAUAAGGGAUACUCUAGUACAAGCUAGAACAAGUAUAAAUUGCGUUUGGAUUUAAUCGGGGAUAUUCUGAAGGAUAUUCUUAAUAGCGUUUGGAUAAAAGUCUAGAACAAUUUUUAAAUAUGUUUAAAAAAAAUAAAAGAAAUUAAUAUGUUUUAUAGAAAAUUAUACAUAAAAUAUUGU
rnacentral:lncRNA from 1 species